UACGAAGGGUGCAAGCGUUACUCGGAAUUACUGGGCGUAAAGCGUGCGUAGGUGGUUUUUUAAGUCCGUUGUGAAAUCCCCGGGCUCAACCCGGGAACUGCGUCCGAUACUGGCAGGCUUGAAUCCGGGAGAGGGAUGCGGAAUUCCAGGUGUAGCGGUGAAAUGCGUAGAUAUCUGGAGGAACACCGGUGGCGAAGGCGGCAUCCUGGACCGGCAUUGACGCUGAGGCGCGAAAGCCAGGGGAGCAAACGGG
rnacentral:rRNA from 1 species